UACGUAGGGUGCGAGCGUUAAUCGGAAUUACUGGGCGUAAAGCGUGCGCAGGCGGUUUUGUAAGCCAGAUGUGAAAGCCCCGGGCUUAACCUGGGAAUGGCAUUUGGGACUGCAAGGCUUGAGUGCGGCAGAGGAGACUGGAAUUCCUGGUGUAGCAGUGAAAUGCGUUGAUAUCAGGAGGAACACCCAUGGCGAAGGCAGCAAACUGGGCAUCAUCUGACGCUGAGGCGCGAAAGCGUGGGUAGCAAACAGG
rnacentral:rRNA from 1 species